rnacentral:lncRNA from 1 species
UUCUAGUUCGACUUUCUGUAAUCGAAUCCGAGCUUUUUCGAGUUGCUCAAUGGUCCCUCUACACAAUUCUUCUGAAUUUCGAAUAGUACUCAAGAUCCUCUGUUUUCGAUUAUCUAAUAAAUCUUUUAAUGAAAGUAGAUUAUUUUGUAAGUUUAUAACUUUUAUGAUCUCUUCCCGAACCAAACAUGAAUCUUUCGAUUCAUUUGGCUCUCACGCUCCUUUUUUUUCUAUAGCUAUUUCCAUAUCUUUUUUUUAAGUAAUGAGCCUAUCCUCUAUCUUCUUUUUUAUGUUUAUAUUUCAAUAUACCGAAACCUAUAUAAGACUAGAUAAAUAUUAAGAGGACUCUUCCGCCUAGAUAAAAAUAUAUCAUGGUCAGCAAGGUUGUUUCUUUAUUUUUAUUUGCCCUCUAGUUAAUAAUUUCAAUUUCAUUAAGAAAAACUAACUAAAUAAAUGGAAAAUGAAAAUUAAUAGAAUUCUUUUUUAUUUUUUUUCUUCAAAUCCAAAAAAUUUCUCUUUUUUAUACAUAGGUCGUCGAUUCGGCAUUGGUUAAAAAAGGGUAGGGUGCCCCCUUUUUUCUAGUAAAUAGUCCAAACCAUUUUAUCGAUAUGAGUGUUCUAUAUCAGAUAAGUUUUACAUUAGCUAUUUCCCGUUUAAAUUGGUACUAAUACUAAUAUAGUUGUAGAAAGAGUACAUCUUUUUGCCUGGACUUCAAGCAGUUUAGCUUUAACCGUGUUAAUGGUCUCACAUUCUUGGUUUAUAGAGAAUCAAAGUUGAUUUACCAAUGAGUCGCGAAAUGCUAUGGUUCUUCCAUAUGAUUUCUGAAUUUAUUCAGAAGUAAUUCGUCGAGAUCGUGCACCCUUUUCUUAUUUAUCCGAAAAAUACUAAAAAAUAUUAUAAAGUGCAGCCGAAUAGAUCCAAUCUAUUCUUGAAAUAGACAACUCGCACACACUCCCUUUCCAAAAAAAUCAAAACACCAACCACUACAGUUAGAUUUAUUAGAUUUGUUGCUAAAAUAUCGGUAUUAAGCCCGAAACUGCCAGCGGAUGGCCAGUGAGCUAAAAAAUGAAAGAAUGGGUUACAUUUUUCAUAUGCUCUCCUCUUAUAGAUAGGACGAACAAAGAACAAAGUUUUUCGAUCACUUACUUCGCUCGCCCUUUUUUGAUCGGUUUUUUUAAUGCAAAUAGAUUCAAUCUAGUAAUUUCUUUUAGAUUAAGUCUUACGACUUGUUUGACCGGUGAAAGACUUCCUUUGUUGAAAUGUUCUGUUCCCAAAAUUCCUAAAACAAAAGGAAAAAACUUUCCACUUUCCUAAACUAAGGACGGGAAAUAAGAAGGUGAGCAUAUCUUCUAAAUUAAUAAUACUCAACUCAGCCCUUCCUAGAAUGGGG